GACGAACGCUGGCGGCGUGCCUAAUACAUGCAAGUCGAGCGAACAGACGAGGAGUUUGCUCCUCUGACGUUAGCCGCGGACGGGUGAGUAACACGUGGAUAACCUACCUAUAAGACGGGGAUAAUCUCGGGAAACCGGCGCUAAUACCGGAUAACAUGCUGCACCGCAUGGUUGAACAGAGAAAGACGGCUUUGCUGUAUCUUAUAGAUGGAUCCCCGUCGCUUUAGGUAGUUGUGAGGGUAAAGGGUUAUCAAGGCAACGAUGCGUAGCCGACCUGCGAGGGGGGUAGGCCGCACGGGAGGUGGAACGGGGACCAGGCUCCUGAGGGAGGCAGCAGUAGGGAAUCUUACGCAAUGGUGGAAAGCCUGGCGGAGCAGGGCCGCGUGAGUGAAGAAGGUCUUCGGUGCGUAAAACUCUGUUAUUGGGGAAGAACAGAUGUGUAAGGAGCUAAGCACGUCUUGACGGUACCUGAUAAGAAAGCCACGGCUAACUACGUG
rnacentral:rRNA from 1 species